rnacentral:rRNA from 1 species
UACGGGGGGAGCAAGCGUUGUUCGGAUUUACUGGGCGUAAAGGGCGCGUAGGCGGCCAGCACAAGUCAGUUGUGAAAUCUCCGGGCUUAACUCGGAAAGGUCAACUGAUACUGUGCGACUAGAGUGCAGAAGGGGCAACUGGAAUUCUCGGUGUAGCGGUGAAAUGCGUAGAUAUCGAGAGGAACACCUGCGGCGAAGGCGGGUUGCUGGGCUGACACUGACGCUGAGGCGCGAAAGUGUGGGGAUCAAACAGG